GCGAGAGUAGCUCAGCUGGUAGAGCGCAACCUUGCCAAGGUUGAGGUCGCGGGUUCGAACCCCGUCUCCCGCU
rnacentral:tRNA from 1 species